GUGGCUAUAGUUCAGUUGGUAGAACAUCGGACUGUGACUCCGAAUGUCGUGGGUUCAAAUCCCACUAGCCACCCCA
rnacentral:tRNA from 1 species